rnacentral:misc_RNA from 1 species
GUACCAGAAAUGCUCCGGUGGCAAAAAUAGGGUUCAAAUGCCUAGAAAGCAAUACAGGAACAAUCAACUUUUGCCCCCCACGAUGUAACUCAAACUUCCAAAAGAUCCCCUGAAUUCCUAUAGAGUACAGCAUCCGAAUGGUACUGAAUUCAGAUACUUUUCUUCCACCUCCCAAUUCUAGUUCAAGUGCAGUACUUCCGAUUCUGGCUCCGAUACGCCCGUGGGAUUUCGUGGAAAAGCGGUGGGUGUAAUUAGCCGUUGCACCAAAUGACCCGGUCCCUAGCUUGAUCUCUCCAGAAGCAGACCUUUUCUGCUCCUUCCUCUGCCAUCCAACAGCUAUA